AACGAACGCUGGCGGCAGGCCUAACACAUGCAAGUCGAGCGAGGACUUCGGAUCUAGCGGCGGACGGGUGAGUAACGCGUGGGAAUGUGCCCUUCUCUAUGGAAUAGCCCUGGGACACUGGGAGUAAUACAGUAUACGCCCUACUGGGGAAAGAUAGAUCGGAGUAGGAGCAGCACGCGUUGGAUUAGGUGGUGGGGGGGGUAAUGGCCUACCACGCCGUCGAUCCAUAGCUGGUUAGAGAGUAAGUGCAGCGACACUGCGACUGGGAAACGGCCGAGAAUCCUACGCGAGGCAGGAGUGGGGGAUCUUGGAAAACCGGGGCAGCGCUGAAGGCGCCAGGCUGGGAGAGUGAUGAAGGCCUGAGGGAAGAAAAGCACUUUCAGCUGGGAAGAUAAUGACGGUACCAAAAGAAGAAGCCCCGGCUAACUCCGUG
rnacentral:rRNA from 1 species